rnacentral:rRNA from 1 species
CGGGAGGCAGCAGUUAGGAAUCUUCCACAAUGGGCGAAAGCCUGAUGGAGCGACGCCGCGUGAGGGAUGAAGGCCCUCGGGUUGUAAACCUCUAAAAGGGGGACGAUAAUGACGGUGCCCCUUGAAAAGCACCGGCUAACUCCGUGCCAGCAGCCGCGGUAAUACGGAGGGUGCAAGCGUUAUCCGGAAUCACUGGGCGUAAAGGGCGUGUAGGCGGCCUGUUAAGUCCGAUGUUAAAGACCGGGGCUCAACCCCGGCACGGCGUUGGAUACUGGCAGGCUAGACGGCUGGAGAGGAAAGUGGAAUUACCAGUGUAGCGGUGGAAUGCGUAGAUACUGGUAGGAACACCCAUUGCGAAGGCAGCUUUCUGGACAGCCCGUGACGCUGAGGCGCGAAAGUGUGGGGAGCAAACCGGAUUAGAUACCCGGGUAGUCCACACCCUAAAC